rnacentral:rRNA from 1 species
CUUGUAGGCGGUCUGUCACGUCUUCUGUGAAAACUUGGGGCUCAACCUUAAGCUUGCAGGGGAUACGGGCAGACUAGAGUACUUCAGGGGAGACUGGAAUUCCUGGUGUAGCGGUGAAAUGCGCAGAUAUCAGGAGGAACACCGGUGGCGAAGGCGGGUCUCUGGGAAGUAACUGACGCUGAGAAGCGAAAGCGUGGGUAGCGAACA